rnacentral:rRNA from 1 species
GGUUAAGCGACUAAGCGUACACGGUGGAUGCCCUGGCAGUCAGAGGCGAUGAAGGACGUGCUAAUCUGCGAUAAGCGUCGGUAAGGUGAUAUGAACCGUUAUAACCGGCGAUUUCCGAAUGGGGAAACCCAGUGUGUUUCGACACACUAUCAUUAACUGAAUCCAUAGGUUAAUGAGGCGAACCGGGGGAACUGAAACAUCUAAGUACCCCGAGGAAAAGAAAUCAACCGAGAUUCCCCCAGUAGCGGCGAGCGAACGGGGAGCAGCCCAGAGCCUGAAUCAGUGUGUGUGUUAGUGGAAGCGUCUGGAAAGGCGCGCGAUACAGGGUGACAGCCCCGUACACAAAAAUGCACAUAUUGUGAGCUCGAUGAGUAGGGCGGGACACGUGGUAUCCUGUCUGAAUAUGGGGGGACCAUCCUCCAAGGCUAAAUACUCCUGACUGACCGAUAGUGAACCAGUA